rnacentral:tRNA from 1 species
GCCUUCGUGGUGUAGUGGUCAGCACGCUCGACGCGUAACCGAGAGGUCCGUGGUUCGAUUCCCGGUGAAGGUU